rnacentral:ncRNA from 1 species
CCGGCUCCGGUUCACGCCCGCUGCCGCGGACGACCCGGCGCC